rnacentral:rRNA from 1 species
AGUCGAACGGUAACAGAAAGCAGCUUGCUGCUUUGCUGACGAGUGGCGGACGGGUGAGUAAUGUCUGGGAAACUGCCUGAUGGAGGGGGAUAACUACUGGAAACGGUAGCUAAUACCGCAUAACGUCGCAAGACCAAAGAGGGGGACCUUCGGGCCUCUUGCCAUCGGAUGUGCCCAGAUGGGAUUAGCUAGUAGGUGGGGUAACGGCUCACCUAGGCGACGAUCCCUAGCUGGUCUGAGAGGAUGACCAGCCACACUGGAACUGAGACACGGUCCAGACUCCUACGGGAGGCAGCAGUGGGGAAUAUUGCACAAUGGGCGCAAGCCUGAUGCAGCCAUGCCGCGUGUAUGAAGAAGGCCUUCGGGUUGUAAAGUACUUUCAGCGGGGAGGAAGGGAGUAAAGUUAAUACCUUUGCUCAUUGACGUUACCCGCAGAAGAAGCACCGGCUAACUCCGUGCCAGCAGCCGCGGUAAUACGGAGGGUGCAAGCGUUAAUCGGAAUUACUGGGCGUAAAGCGCACGCAGGCGGUUUGUUAAGUCAGAUGUGAAAUCCCCGGGCUCAACCUGGGAACUGCAUCUGAUACUGGCAAGCUUGAGUCUCGUAGAGGGGGGUAGAAUUCCAGGUGUAGC